UGGGGAAUAUUGCACAAUGGGGGAAACCCUGAUGCAGCGACGCCGCGUGAGUGAAGAAGUAUUUCGGUAUGUAAAGCUCUAUCAGCAGGGAAGAAAGUGACAGUACCUGAGUAAGAAGCCCCGGCUAACUACGUGCCAGCAGCCGCGGUAAUACGUAGGGGGCAAGCGUUAUCCGGAUUUACUGGGUGUAAAGGGAGCGUAGGUGGUAAUGCAAGUCAGAAGUGAAAGCCCUUUGCUUAACGAAGGGACUGCUUUUGAAACUGUAUAACUAGAGUGCAGGAGAGGUAAGUGGAAUUCCUAGUGUAGCGGUGAAAUGCGUAGAUAUUAGGAGGAACACCGGUGGCGAAGGCGGCUUACUGGACUGUAACUGACACUGAGGCUCGAAAGCGUGGGGAGCAAACAGGAUUAGAUACC
rnacentral:rRNA from 1 species